CAGCMCCCCGAGUGGUCGGGACGAUUAUUGGGCCUAAAGCAUCCGUAGCCGGUUUUACAAGUCCCCCGUUAAAUCCAGCUGCUUAACAGAUGGGCUGCGGAGGAUACUAUAAGACUAGGAGGCAGGAGAGGCAAGCGGUACUCAGUGGGUAGGGGUAAAAUCCGUUGAUCCAUUGAAGACCACCAGUGGCGAAGGCGGCUUGCCAGAAUGCGCUCGACGGUGAGGGAUGAAAGCUGGGGGAGCAAACCGGAUUAGAUACCCGGGUAGUCCCAGCUGUAAACGAUGCAGACUCGGUGAUGGACUAGCUUUAUGCUAGUCCAGUGCCGCAGGGAAGCCGUUAAGUCUGCCGCCUGGGUAGUACGGUCGCAAGACUG
rnacentral:rRNA from 1 species